rnacentral:rRNA from 1 species
UGCAGUCGAGCGGCAGCGACAACAUUGAUUCUUCGGAGGAUUUGUUGGGCGGCGAGCGGCGGACGGGUGAGUAAUGGCUGGGAACCUGCCCUGACGUGGGGGAUAACAGUUGGAAACGACUGCUAAUACCGCAUGAUGUCUUUGGACCAAAGAGGAGGACCUUCGGGCUUCUCGCGUCGGGAUGGGCCCAGUUGGGAUUAGCUAGUUGGUGAGGUAUGGCUCACCAAGGCGACGAUCCCUAGCUGGUUUGAGAGGAUGAUCAGCCACACUGGAACUGAGACACGGUCCAGACUCCUACGGGAGGCAGCAGUGGGGAAUAUUGCACAAUGGGCGCAAGCCUGAUGCAGCCAUGCCGCGUGUGUGAAGAAGGCCUUCGGGUUGUAAAGCACCUUCAGCAGUGAGGAAGGCGUAGUGGUUAACACCCGCUGCGCUUGACGUUAGCUGCAGAAGAAGCACCGGCUAACUCCGUGCCAGCAGCCGCGGUAAUACGGAGGGUGCGAGCGUUAAUCGGAAUUACUGGGCGUAAAGCGCAUGCAGGCGGUUUGUUAAGCAAGAUGUGAAAGCCCCGGGCUCAACCUGGGAACCGCAUUUUGAACUGGCAGGCUAGAGUCUUGUAGAGGGGGGUAGAAUUUCAGG